CACGUAGGGCGCGAGCGUUGUCCGGAAUUAUUGGGCGUAAAGAGCUCGUAGGCGGCCUGUUGCGUCCGCUGUGAAAGCCCGGGGCUUAACCCCGGGUCUGCAGUGGAUACGGGCAGGCUAGAGGUAGGUAGGGGAGAAUGGAAUUCCCGGUGUAGCGGUGAAAUGCGCAGAUAUCGGGAGGAACACCGGUGGCGAAGGUGGUUCUCUGGGCCUUACCUGGCGCUGAGGCACGAAAGCCAGGGGAGCAAACGGG
rnacentral:rRNA from 1 species